rnacentral:rRNA from 1 species
AUUGAACGCUAGCGGCAUGCUUAACACAUGCAAGUCGAACGGCAGCGCGGGUAGCUUGCUACCUGGCGGCGAGUGGCGGACGGGUGAGUAAUGCGUAGGAAUCUACCUUAUGGUGGGGGAUAACUCGAGGAAACUCGAGCUAAUACCGCAUAAUCUCUAAGGAGCAAAGCGGGGGACCUUCGGGCCUCGUGCUGUAAGAUGAGCCGACGUCGGAUUAGCUAGUUGGUGGGGUAAUAGCCUACCAAGGCGACGAUCCGUAGCUGGUCUGAGAGGACGAUCAGCCACACUGGGACUGAGACACGGCCCAGACUCCUACGGGAGGCAGCAGUGGGGAAUAUUGGACAAUGGGGGAAACCCUGAUCCAGCAAUGCCGCGUGUGUGAAGAAGGCCUUCGGGUUGUAAAGCACUUUCAGUGGGGAAGAAAGAACCAAAAUUAAUACUUUUGGGUGUUGACGUUACCUACAGAAGAAGCACUGGCUAACUCUGUGCCAGCAGCCGCCGUAA